AGAAUUGUUGGAGCAGUUGCCUGCUUUACAGCAACCGCUGUAUCGUCUUACAGGAUGUCAGGUAUUUUCUUGUGAAACUCAGGACUUUUAUAUCUUCUUACAGGAUGUUCCUCAAAGUACCUAAUUUUUGUUAAGUUAUAUGGUGUCUUGAGUCUAUUUUUGACUGGCUUUUGGUAUACGAAAAUUUGCAUGUGUUUACAGUCUGUUAUGAUUGUGACAUUAUUGUUGGUCUCUAAAUAGAGUUCACUUUUAUAGGAAGCCCGUCUCUCUGGUGCUUCAAUUUUAGCUUACAACCCAUUUUACACUGGCAGGUGGUGUACAGGUUUACAGUUCAGUGAUAUGGAUCUUUUUCUAUUAUUUUCUGUUACAGGUUUUUUAUGGAUAGUUUAACUAGGUAGUAGUUUAAUUUUAUGGAUAGUUUGGUAUAUUUUGUGGAUGUAGUCAAAUUAACAAUUCAAUAUAGUAGUAAUUAUAUUGAAAAGUGAAUUUGAGAUGUAUGGAUAGUUUGACAUUAUUGAGAUGUAAACGUAUUGUAUGGUAUUAAUAUUCUUUGUAAUUGGCAUUACAAAGAAUUAUUGGGAUGUAAACGUAUUGUAUGGUAUUAG
rnacentral:lncRNA from 1 species